rnacentral:misc_RNA from 1 species
ACGAAUGGCUUCGGCCUUCAACCUCAAAACCCGUGGAAUAUAGCCGUGCUUCGGCGCCAUGGCGUCGUAUUUAUGCAAUAUGUCUGUGUCUGAAUUAAACUUGAAUUA